CGUCCUCCCAGCAGAAACCCUAGAGGCCGCCCCUCCCUCCUCACCAGACGCCGCGGCCUUCUCUCGAGUGGCAUGGCCUAGGUCGACAGGGGUGGCGCUGCGGCCUUGGCCAUCUGAGGUGUUGACGCACGGCUCCAGUGUCCUAGGUAGGUAUGGUGGUGAGGACUCGGUAGUGGUGCUGCCGUCUGCCACCAGUUGAGAAUGUGAGCUCAGAUCUGACCACGCCUCAAUUCCAAGGGGAAGAUGGUGUGGAAGGGGAACAUGGUGGAGGAGGGUCGUCUGUCCUUGAUCCAGCCGAGGGCGUUGCGGAGAGGGUCGCCUGUCCUCGAUCCGACCAAGGCCGGUAGAUCCAACGACGUCUUCUGUUGGACUGCCACUACUUCACCAUGGUGGCUGCCUGUGCAAAGGAUGGUUGGUCGGUCGAAAGUGUCGAUCUGAUUCGGCGUCUACUGGUUCCUCCGACGGGCUUUGCUGGCCGGGCGUCGCAAUCUGAGGUGCCUUUUGUAGAUGCGGCCAGGAUUUCCCUGUUGAGGUAUAUUCAGAUGGAUAGUAACCUUCGGGUGCAUCAUUUCCAACAAAGCAAGUCAAGGUGCCAUGCUCAACCAUAUUAGCUGUGUUCAGAUGGAUAAUUACCUUCUUAGGUAUGAAUUCCUUCACAAGCCUGAUCUGUGUGUAUAUUAGUUUUGUUUACUGCUACAAACAAUGUUCCUUUCCUCAUAUGAUCUGCUCGGAAUUAAUUCACAGACCAGUUACUUGCACAAGGAUAGAAAAGAAGGUAAUUAUAAUAGGAUAAGCAUUUCAUUUACAGACUGCUUCAUACUUCAGACCCUUGCAGAUUUGAGUGCUUGCUCUGCAUGUUCAAAAAAUAACAGUGCCACAAUAAAAAAAAUCAACAGUGCUAUUGUUUAUCUAAACUGUCCACACAAACUACAAAAUUACUUUGGGAGGAUAACUAUGGAUUAGCGCCAUUGCUUCUCGCUUCCCCAUGGGUAUCUGGUAACCAUGUACGUAAAGGUAUAAUCGGCAAUUUGACAGCAUAAGCAAUAAGGAAGCCAAAAUACAGUAGUAUUUCUAAUGUUGUAGGGAAAACUAUCCUUAUGUGCAUACAGAAUCCUACUAGAUAAUCAUUUUAAGUGCAUACAAAUGAUUACUGCUGAACAAAAUUCUAGAAUAUCUAUUUUGAAUUCUUUAUGACGCAUAUUUCAAAUCUGAACUAAUGUUUGUUACUGGUGAAUAGGCACUUCGUGAUGGCCCUUGGGCCGCCUGGGGACAUAUAAUCAGCAUUAAACUUAAACAUAUCAUUCCUGCAGAUGCUCGGAUCCUUCGCGAAGAUCCAUUGUAGAGCAAUGGGGUCCUUUAUAUCUUUGACAUUCAGUCACUUUCACACUUUAUUUCAUCCUAUUGGGUGUCUUGAUCUCACAUUUUUUGUCUCCUCUUAUUGUGGUCUGUGCUAACAGGAGAAUCAUUACCGGCCACUAAAAGUCCUGGUGAUGGUGUCUCCUCUGAUUCGGCUACCAAGUAGUGUGACACUGAGGCUGUUGUGAUAGCAACUUCAGUCCACACUUACCUCAACAGGUUUACGUCUCUUUGAUGACAUCAUUACCCAAGGUGGGAUUACAAAAAAAGAAUGGCUGCAGUUGAAGUGAUAAAGGUGGAACUCUUAACUCUACAAACUGAACUUCAUCCAGGCUAGACUUGAAUAGCCAUCGUUGUUCUACCAUCCAGGUUAGAUCCGAAGUCUAGAUAAUGAGAAAAAAGUGACAACAAGUCAAGUGUUUCUUUCUAUUUUUCAGAGCAUAAAUACGAGAUUGUAAAAUGUCUAGGGGCACAAAAACACAUUUGUUAUAUACACAUCUUCAGAGUGUAUCUGUGUACCAUAUUGCUCACCAUAUUUUGUCUUUGUGCCCAAUUUUUCUUGUGCUUGUGUAUGUGCACGCGUUGGCGCGCCUCUUCACUAGUGAGUGUCUAUAUGGGCUGUGGUGGGCUGGUGGCAGUGGCAUCUCAAAUGAAUACUAGAUUUGCAGUAUGCAAAAUGAAUUUCAGUUGCUAGCUGCUAGCCUUAGAUUGCACAGGUUGUUGCAAUCAUUUUCCAACUUGAGAGAAAUAAAGAUAUACAGAAACUUCUGUACUGCUUGUUGCUGAUGUGACCAAAGAAGGCAUAGAUAAGGCAAGGAAUAAGAGAUCUAUGUGUGGCUUGACCUGACUUCCAAAUUUAUUACUUAUUUGCAUCUUAUGGCAGCCUGGCCUGGUUUGGUGUUUGUUAUUUAUGCAAAUGUACCACAAUUGGUGACUUUGUAAUAUGAGCAUAUUGUCAUGUAUUUGACUUGAUGUAUAUGGGCUCGACAUUAUAAUAUAAUAAUUAUAUAUGAUUGGUUAUGUGGUUUA